rnacentral:rRNA from 1 species
GACGAACGCUGGCGGCGUGCUUAACACAUGCAAGUCGAACGGUGAAGCGCCUUCCUUUUUGGUGGGUGUGGAUGAGUGGCGAACGGGUGAGUAACACGUGAGUAACCUGCCCCCUUCUUCUGGAUAACCGCAUGAAAGUGUGGCUAAUACGGGAUAUUCUGAGUCUGUCGCAUGAUGGGUCUGGGAAAGAUAUUGUUUCGGUGGGGGAUGGGCUCGCGGCCUAUCAGCUUGUUGGUGGGGUGAUGGCCUACCAAGGCGGUGACGGGUAGCCGGCCUGAGAGGGUGGACGGUCACACUGGGACGGAGACACGGCCCAGACUCCGACGGGAGGCAGCAGUGGGGAAUAUGGCACAAUGGGCGCAAGCCUGAUGCAGCGACGCCGCGUGAGGGAUGGAGGCCUGCGGGUUGUGAACCUCUUUCGCCAGUGAAGCAGGCCUGCCUCGUUUGUGGGUGGGUUGACGGUAGCUGGAUAAGAAGCGCCGGCUAACUACGUG